GUUUACGGCCAUACCAGCCUGAAUACGCCCGAUCUCGUCUGAUCUCGGAAGCUAAGCAGGGUCGGGCCUGGUUAGUACUUGCAUGGGAGACCGCCUGGGAAUACCAGGUGCUGUAAGCU
rnacentral:rRNA from 1 species